ensembl:lncRNA
AAGGCUCUGCUCUUACCACGAUGAAUCACGCACCCACGCCCUGGAGGGUUUAUCAACUUCAAGUUCAGACUCUGAGCAUGUUGAACCAGUUUACUGGAUCAGAGCCUAGCAGGAAAUCCUUUCUGUUCGUUAGCAGUGAGGCAGGAAUGGCAGAGUUUUGAGUUUUGGAUUCACUCAGUUAUGAGCGGAGUGAUCAGGACUCUGUGCUGGCUGUCCUUCUUUGAAGGAUGAUGAAAAACUUGCUGUCGUUCCUGCUCCUCGUUUCCCAGCAUGCUCUGGCUGUGGUGGUGGAGGUGAAUGAGGGGGCAGAGUCUGUCCUGCUGCCCUGUGAGUUCUCAGGUUUAAUACCUGAGAAUGACUCCACUGUGAUGUGGACUCACGAUGACCUUUAUAACAAAUCUGUCCACCUACGACGAAAAGAAGGAGAUGAUCUUAGAGAGCAAAACCAGGGUUACAGCGGGCGCACAUCGAUGAGGCCUGAUGCUCUGAACACUGGAAACUUCAGCCUCACUCUGAGAAAACCACAACUGACAGACAGCGGCAACUACUCCUGCUCCAUCAGUGAUGGAAGAGAAGAAAGGAGACUGAUAGAUGUACAGCUGCAGGUCAAAGAACCAUUUCCAUCCUGGGCCAUAGCUCUCCUGGUUCUCCUGCUUCUCCUGGUUCUUCUUGUGGUUUCUGGAGGUCUUCUAUUUUAUUUCCGGCACUAUUUCAUGUCAGAUUAUAAGGUGGAGCUGGAUUCAGGGGUGGAGUCUGUCCAGCUGCCCUGCAAAACCACAGUUAACCUGCCUAAAGACGCUAAAGUGGAGUGGAAGGACAAAAAAAACAGGAAGGUCCACAUUUAUAAGAACUGCUCUGACCAGACUGGAGAACAGCAUCACUUUUACAGAGAGCGCACAAAGAUGAAGAGAAACUUACUGGAACCUGGAGACCUCAGUCUGAACCUGAAACCCCCCACAGACACAGACACCUACACCUGCACCGUCUACAGCAGCAGGGGGACGAUCCUGAUGAAAAAAGAAGUGCUGCUCAUUGUCAGAGUCCCCCAGGUGGAGGUGGAAUCAGGUGUGGAGUCUGUCCAGCUGCCCUUCAAAACCACACUUCACCUGCCCAAAGAUGCUAAAGUGGAGUGGAAGGACAAAGGUAGCAGGAUGAUCUAUGUUCAUCAGAACGGCUCUGACCAGCCUGAAGAACAGCACCAGGCUUACAAAAACCGAACCAAGAUGAAUGAAGACCUGAUGAAAACUGGAGACCUCAGUCUGACCCUGAAAUACCCCACAGACUGGGACAACAGAACCUACACCUGCACCGUCUACAGCAGGGAGGGAAACAUCCUGCUGAAGAAACAAGUGGAGCUGAAAGUCAGAGUCUGUCAGGUGGAGGUGGAUUCAGGGGUGGAGUCUGUCCCGCUGCCCUUCAAAUCCACAGAAAACCUGCCUGAAGACGCUAAAGUGGAGUGGAAGGAUGGGAGAUCCAGAACAGUCCACGUGUAUAAGAACGGCUCUGACCAGCCUGAAGAACAGAACCAAGUUUACAGAGACCGAACAAAGAUGAAUAAAGACCUGCUGAAAACUGGAGACCUCAGUCUGACCCUGAAAUACCCCACAGACUGGGACAGCGAAGAUUUCAUAUGUGAAGUUUGGAGGAGUGGAAACAUCCUUAGAACAAAAUCACUGCUGCUCAAAGUCAAAGUCUGUCAGGUGGAGGUGGAGGAGGGGGCGGAGUCUGUCCAGCUGCCCUUCAAAACCACACAAAACCUGCCUGGAGAUGUUAGAGUGGUUUGGGAAUGCAAAGAGCCUGAACCAGUAAUGUUGGUCCAUGUAUAUGACAAUGGCUCUGACCAGCCUGAAGAACAGCACCAGGUUUACAGAGACAGAACGAAGAUGAACGAAGACCUGCUGAAAACUGGAGACCUCAGUCUGACCCUGAAACAGCCCACAGAGAGAGACAGUGGAGGAUAUGCAUGCUACGUUGUGAGGAAUCGAGCUGUGGUUCGAAGGAAGAGAGUGCAGCUCAAAGUCAAAGGGAGAGUUCAGGUUCAGGAUCAAACAGGGGACAUCAGGAACAGAAGCAGCUCCAUUGAUCCGACUCCUCUGAUGGCUGAUCAAUCAGUUUGAUCUGUGUGUUCUUUGAUUAUUGAUCAGUGAUGUCAGAGUGGAGUCAGUGUGAUGUUGUUGUUGUGUGUUUGAGACUUUUAGUGUCCAUGAAGGUCUCUGCUGCCGUAGAUCCUCUGAACUGUGACAGAGGUCUCACUCUGGAGGAAACUCUCAGCACUUUCCAGCAGCUCCUCCAUCAUGGAGGACGUUCCCUCACUGUAACAGGUGGAGGAGAGAGGAGAGGAAGCACAGGUGGAUCCUCUGAGGAAGAGGAGCGUUCCUACAAACCACAUGAUCACAUGACCAGAGGACAAGCAUGUGUAGAAACCUACAUCUGUCUCCAGCAGCUGUCUGAGCUGCAGUCUGUAUUGUGUGUGUAAUAUCUUCAUAUGUUUCUAAUAUUACAGUUUUAUCUUCAGGUGUAAAAUCAGCUGCUCUGCUGUCUUAUCCCCUGAUCCUGUGUGAUUGAUUAAUCCUGCAAACGCCACAAAUUUCAUUUCAGCUUUUAUUUGAAAGCUGAAACCUUGAAGGCUUUACAUGUGUUGGAUAUGAAUGUUUGGAGCCCAGAUCAUCAUUUGUCUUGUUUCAGUGGGAAUGUUUUUCUCCAUGUUGGCCUGAGGGUGGUGCUGUUUAGCCUGUACUGAGUAUUUGUCACUAUGCUGAGUUGUGGGUGGAGUCAGUGAUUGGCUGAAGGUGCCUUCUUUAAAGCGGGAACACUGGCUCAGCUUUCCUACCUCCUUACUCCCAGCUGGACCACGCUGCAUCAACAAGUGAUUGUCUGUGUGUGGAAGAGUGAUGCCAUUGUACACACUGUAAAUAUCUUCUUCUUCUUCAGCUGUGUGGGUGGAGAAGCUUUUCUGUUAGGGAGACGGUGUCCUUCUCACCUUCAGACAUGAGAUUAGAAAGAGAGAGAGUUCAGAUUACAGUGCAGAUAUGAAUGAAUGAAUCCGUGCUCGUCCUCACGGCUCCUGCAUGCUUUUAAAAAAGUGUGUGUUCAGCUCUGAUCUCCAAUCUGUUCUUUUCUCUCUUUGUUUCUUUCCUGGCUUCAUGAUCAUCAUCACACCGUCUGAGGCUCCUAAAUAUCCAUGUUUGCUUGUUUCACUCUCACAGUUGAACUCUGGGAGUCAAAGAUGUUUCAGCUCCAAACUCACUGAGAGCUCCUCGUGCCCACCACGUGACCAAAAACAUCUUUGUGCUCACGUGCUGCACGUGUCUGAGACACUUUAGUUUGAAGGAGACAAACUGCAGACGCAGCAUUUCCUGUUCCUGAGUGUAAACCUGAGCAUUUGAAAUGAGCUCCACAGGGGAAGCUGUAGGUGACAGAGAUACUCACAGACUCACUGACGUUACAGUCUGUUAGCAUCACGCAGUAUCACAGACACACGGGAAGAUUUAGUGCAAGUGCUGAGAGACACACAGCAGACAUAUUGACUGGAAACAUAUCAGACUGAAAUAAAGCAGAAGCACAUGUUAGCACAUGCUAAUAUGAUGUGGAUGUGUUUAGUGUGGGAGCAGGACUCACCUGAGACACACCUGUGUGGAUGAUGCUGCUUCCUGCUCUGCUCUUUCUGCUGAUUCAGCUUCUUCAUCACGUCUGAGGCUCUGUCACAGUUUGUUUGUCAACAUCAUCAUGGACACAACACAAGCACAUUUAUUUGACAUGUGAGUUUCUAUGAUUGUGAUUGAUGUGGAUGUAGAUGACAAAGAUGAUGAUAGAGAAGGGAUAUUGUACAUGUGUUCAGAUGAUGUAUGCAAACAGUCAUAACCUGGCUGUGACGUGUGUGGGGGAUUAAAAUUUUCCAAAAUGCAGUAAAUUAGGAUGACAGAAAUGAUGGCACCUCUGUUUUCACGUGAGCUAAAGCUACAGGUGUCACAUCAAACACUCACAGGGAAAACACCAAUCACAGCACGCACACAUAUACUGAACAUUACAGAGAGAAUUAUUAGAGAUCGACUCCGUUAUGAGCCUUCUUUUAAUAUCGAUGCCUGUUAAAAAUUUAUAACAGCCCUAAACAUGUCUUCAUUACAACAUGCAUCAGUCUAGUGUUUAUAAAUGAAUCUUUUUGUGCUACUGUCAGUAAUGCUGUAUAACGAGUUAAAGUGCUGCUAAAGUUAAACUCAGUGUGGUAUUUUCCAAAACUAUGGUGUCAUUGUGAUAGUUGCAGGCAAUGUUGGGUGUAACUGUAAUUAAAUUACUUUUCCACUGAAAAAGUAGAGUAACUAAUUACUAUUCAUUUUUAGGAAUUUUAAUUACAGUUACUUACAAUGUAUUUGUGUUACAUUGUAAAAUAAUUAAAUAAUAAAUAAAUAAAUAAUUAAACUCGCUGAAUAUCAUUAUUUAAGCAGGCAAAACUUGAUUUUACUUCAGCAGCACAGAAAGCGUCUGAAGGUGAGCUUAAAAAAUGAUUGCAGGCUACAUUGUGGAACAGAUGCUACCGCUGCGUACUGUAGAGUCUCCGUCUUUGAAAAAAAUUAUUUAUUAUUUAAAGAGUUUAAUUUCUAUUGUUUGUCCACUCAAGGUUUAUAGGGAUUUUAAGAAGUAUUUAGUUUAAUUACUUAUUUAGUAAUUAACUAACCCAAAACUGGUUGCAGGGCAUUGCGUUAAAAAAAAGUGUGUUGUACAGCUCUUUCC